UCGGUUUUGCUAUUUUUCAGUCGAGUGAUUUUCAAUUGGCUGUCAUUCAAUUUCUUGGCCGUCCGAUCGCGCGCUGCGAUUCGCGCCGAGCUGUGUGGUUUUCUGCCUGGUUUCCUUUGUCUCGGGUUCGGUUUUUCUUUGUUGGGCGGGUUUUAUUUGGGUCUGCCCGUUACUGGACGCCCGUGUUCCUUUUCCUUUCCCCCCUUUUGAAUUAUUCCCCAUUUUCAUUUGAGCGGUACUGUGUCGAAAUGGGCAGAGAGGUGAGCGGCGGAGGCGGCGAGGCGAUUUGUGUCUUGUUCAUGGCGUUUGCGAGACCUCUCUCUCCUCGUGCUUGAGUCUUCAGUGCUGUGUAUUCUACCCCAGAAUUGCAGUGUAACUUACCCUAGAAUGGCAGUGUAUCCCUUUGCUUCUUUUUACUGUAUUUACACUGUAUUUAACAUAUGAUUACAGUGUAACUCGCAGUUUUGUAAUUUCACUGUAUAUGUUGCUGCAAUUGCAGUGUAAUAUAACCUAAUUACAGUGUAAUUUUAUAAUUACAGUAUAAAUUUUCCCAUAAUUACAGUGUAAUCUUGCCCCAGUUUCACUGUAAUUUACACUGUAAAUUUCCCCAUAAUUAGAGUAUAAACGGCAGAUUUUCAGUGUAUUUUUGCCUCUAUAUAUCUUUUGUGUUGUUGCGGUGCAUUACAAUGUAAUUUUCAUAGUUCACUAGAGUUUUAGAGUGUAAUUCCCUACACUGUAAGUUGUGUGUUUGAGGGCUUACAAUGUAAUUCCCUAUUUGAACUUA